rnacentral:rRNA from 1 species
GACGAACGCUGGCGGCGUGCUUAACACAUGCAAGUCGAGGCGGUAAGGCCCUUUCGGGGGUACACGAGCGGGCGAACGGGUGAGUAACAACGUCGGGUGACCUGCCCUCAGCUCUGGGAUAACGCCUGGGAAACUGGGUCUAAUACUGGAUAUGACUCCACGGUGCAUGUCGUGGGGUGGAAAGCCUUGUGCGGCUGAGGAUGGGGCCCGCGGCCGUACUCAGCUUGUUGGGGUGGGGUGAUGGCCUACCAAGGCGACGACGGGUACGCCGGACCUGAGAGGGCGACCGGGCCACACUGGGACUGAGAUACGGCCCAGG